AUUUUUUCCAUAAAAAUCCCAUUUUUUCCCCCAAAAAAAUCCCAUUUUUCCCUCUAAAAAUCCUAUUUUCCCCCCAAAAAAUCCCAUUUUUUCUCCUAAAAACCCCAUUUUUUCUCCUAAAAAUCCCAUUUUUUCUCCCAAAUUUUUCCCAAAAUCCCAUUUUAUCCCCAAAAAAUCCCAUUUUUAUCCCAAAAAUCCCAUUUUUUUCUCCCAAAUCUCAUUUUUCCCUCUAAAAACCCCAUUUUUUCUCCUAAAAAUCCCAUUUUUCCCUCUAAAAAUCCCAUUUUUUUCCAUAAAAACCCCAUUUUUUCUCCUAAAANNNNNNNNNNNNNNNNNNNNGUUGGGGAUUUCUACCCCAAAAAUUGGGGAAAAAUUGGGGGAAAAUUGGGGAAAAAUUGGGGAAAAUUGGGGAAAAAUUGGGGGAAAUUGGGGAAAAGUUGGGAAUUUCACCCCAAAAAUUGGGGAAAAAUUGGGGGAAAAUUGGGGGGAAAUUGGGGAAAAGUUGGGGAUUUCUACCCCAAAAAUUGGGGAAAAAUUGGGGAAAAAUUGGGGAAAAAUUGGGGAAAAAUUGGGGAAAAAUUGGGGAAAAAUUGGGGGAAAAUUGGAGGAAAAUUGGGAAUUUCACCUCAAAAAUUGGGGGAAAAUUGGGGAAAAAUUGGGAAUUUCACCCCAAAAAUUGGGGAAAAAUUGGGGGAAAAUUGGGGGGAAAUUGGGGAAAAGUUGGGGAUUUCUACCCCAAAAAUUGGGGAAAAAUCGGGGAAAAAUUGGGGAUUUCACCUCAAAAAUUGGGGGAAAAUUGGGGGAAAAUUGGGGAAAAUUGGGGAAAAAUUGGGGAUUUCUACCCCAAAAAUUGGGGAAAAAUCGGGGAAAAAUUGGGGAUUUCUACCCCAAAAAUUGGGGGAAAAUUGGGGAAAAUUUGGGGGAAAAUUGGGAAUUUCUACCCCAAAAAUUGGGGGAAAAUUGGGGGAAAAUUGGGGAUUUCUACCCCAAAAAUUGGGGAAAAAUCGGGGAAAAAUUGGGGAUUUCUACCCCAAAAAUUGGGGGAAAAUUGGGGGGAAAUUGAGGAAAAAUUGGGGAAAAAUUGAGGAAAAGUUGGGGAUUUCUACCCCAAAAAUUGGGGAAAAAUUGGGGGGAAAUUGGGGAAAAUUGGGGAUUUCUACCCCAAAAAUUGGGGGAAAAUUGGGGGAAAAUUGGGGAAAAAUUGGGGAAAAGUUGGGGGGAAAUUGGGGAAAAGUUGGGGAUUUCUACCCCAAAAAUUGGGGGAAAAUUGGGGGAAAUUGGGGAAAAAUUGGGGGAAAUUGGGGAAAAGUUGGGAAUUUCUACCCCAAAAAUUGGGGAAAAAUCAGGGAAAAAUUGGGGAUUUCACCUCAAAAAUUGGGGGAAAAUUGGGGGAAAUUGGGGAAAAAUUGGGGAAAAAUUGGGGAAAAAUUGGGGGAAAAUUGGAGGAAAAUUGGGGAAAAAUUGGGGGGAAAUUGGGGAAAAAUUGGGAAUUUCCACCCCAAAAAAUUGGGAAUUUGGGAAUUCAGGAUUUGGAGAAUUCAGGAAUUCGGGGAAAUUUGGGAAUUUGGGAUUUGGGGAAUUCAGGAUUUCAGGAAUUGGGAAUUCGGGAAAUUCGGGAUUUGGGAAUUUUGGGAGCUCAGGAAUUCAGAAAUUCAGGAUUUGGGGAAUUUUGGGAUUUCAGGAAUUGGGAAUUCGGGAUUUCAGGAAUUGGGAGUUCAGGGAUUCGGGAUUUGGGGAAUUUUGGGAAUUUCAGGAAUUGGGAUUUCAGGAAUUUGGGAUUUGGGGAAUUUGGGAUUUCAGGAAUUGGGAAUUCGGGAAAUUCGGGAUUUGGGGAAUUUGGGAUUUCAGGAAUUGGGAAUUCGGGAAAUUCAGGAAUUGGGAGUUCAGGAAUUCGGGAAUUUGGGAUUUGGGGAAUUCAGGAAUUCGGGGAAAUUUGGGGAAUUUGGGAUUUGGGGAAUUUGGGAUUUCAGGAAUUGGGAUUUGGGGAUUUCAGGAUUUGGGAAUUUUGGGAAAUUUGGGAAUUCCGGGAAUUUCGGGGUCCCCACCGUGGCUUUGCCGAGCUCGGCUCCCCCCCAGUUCCGGCCGCGCCUCCGGGAGNNNNNNNNNNNNNNNNNNNNGGAGUGACUGGGAAUGAACUGGGAGUGAACUGGGAAUGGACUGGGAGCACUGGGAGUGAACUGGGAAUGGACUGGGAGGGACUGGGAAUGGACUGGGAAUGAACUGGGAAUGGACUGGGAAUGGACUGGGAAUGAACUGGGAAUGGACUGGGAAUGGACUGGGAAUGGACUGGGAAUGGACUGGGAGUGACUGGGAAUGAACUGGGAGUGAACUGGGAAUGGACUGGGAGCACUGGGAGUGACUGGGAAUGGACUGGGAGUGAACUGGGAAUGGACUGGGAGCACUGGGAAUGGACUGGGAAUGGACUGGGAAUGGACUGGGAAUGAACUGGGAGCACUGGGAUUGGGGCUGGGAUCCGGGAACCCGUCCUGGAACGGGGAAAAACAAACUGGGAGUGACUGGGAAUGGACUGGGAGCACUGGGAUUGGGGCUGGGAUCCGGGAACCCGUCCUGGAACGGGGAGAAACAAACUGGGAAUGAACUGGGAGGGACUGGGAGCACUGGGAUUGGGGCUGGGAUCCGGGAACCCGUCCUGGAACGGGGAAACAAACUGUGAAUGAACUGGGAAUGGACUGGGAAUGGACUGGGAAUGGACUGGGAGUGAACUGGGAGCACUGGGGUUGGGGCUGGGAUCCGGGAAGCCGUCCUGGAACGGGAGAAACAAACUGGGAAUGAACUGGGAAUGGACUGGGAGCACUGGGAUUGGGGCUGGGAUCCGGGAACCCGUCCUGGAACGGGAGAAACAAACUGGGAGUGAACUGGGAAUGGACUGGGAAUGAACUGGGAGCACUGGGAGUGACUGGGAUUGAACUGGGAGCACUGGGAUUGGGGCUGGGAUCCGGGAACCCGUCCUGGAACGGGGAAAACAAACUGCGAGUGAACUGGGAAUGGACUGGGAGCACUGGGAAUGAACUGGGAAUGGACUGGGAGUGACUGGGAAUGGACUGGGAGCACUGGGAUUGGGGCUGGGAUCCGGGAACCCGUCCUGGAACGGGGAGAAACAAAC
rnacentral:lncRNA from 1 species